rnacentral:lncRNA from 1 species
CCCGGGGCCAAGCCGAGCCCCCGGGGCAGGCCGAGCCCCCGAGGCAGGCCGAGCCCCCGGGGCAUCCCGCGGGAGGCACAGAACGCCCGGGCAACUGCGCGCACGGGGCGGCGGCGGAGAGGUGAUUCCAGAGGUUUCCCUGAACCGACCUCUGAGAAAAUCCCUUCGCGGGAGCGACAGCUGCUCCCACGCUCCUGUUGUAACUUGGGUUUGGUUUGGUUUGGUUUUUUUUAAACCCCCUUUGUUUAAAAAUAUCCCAAGUCCAAACAGUAUUCGUUGUCGCAAACUCCAUGGGCAUGUUUACAGCGAAGUGUUACCAACGCUCACAUCGAAACGCCAGCAGUGACAACUGGAAAUCCCCCAAAUACAGGAAUAGCCCCAGAUAAGGUGCUGGGUUUUCACUUGCGCUUGAAAUUUGCAGCGUGAUCUUGUAAUGUUUUAUGUGUCUCAGCCUCUGCUUUUAUUCAGAGUUUGAAAACAUGAUUGAAACGUGCUUUAAAAUUGUUUCCAGAUGUUUUAUUUUUUUAAAAAAAGAGGGGAAAGGGGAAAAAAUAUUGUAGACACUCCAAUAAUCAAUAAAUCAGCAAUAACCUUUGCUGAAACCCAGAAAUCUGCUUUUUCCCAGUAAAGCUUGUUCCUGUUACAUAAAUGCUUUCAUGUCACCCCAGGACAGCAGCAUUUCUCCUGAAUAAAGGAAAAUCCUCUGUGAUUCUGUUAAAACCUGUGAUGACUUUUGCAGUGUCAUUUCUCCAAGAAGAUCCUGCCUGGCACCUCACAAAAGCGUCUGUCACAGGUACAAGUGCCCUUACACAGGGAAGAUUGAAGUACAGACUCUUCUGCAGCAGGACUGCACAAAAGCUAGGAGCAGGGAUUUUGUCUGACAGGGAUGGCAGAGCCCCAUUACAUGGUACAGAGGGUGGCUGGCUUCCAGGCAGUGUAAGUCAUCAGGUCUGGAGGGAUUUGGUCAUGGAUGCUGCCAAAUGUGGGUCACAUCCCAUGUUUUUCUCCACAGAAUUUAUCGUCUGAAUAGACUUUGUCAAGAGAUCUUUCUUAGGGUAGAGUGCACCUGGACUGGAAAGAUGAAACAGCAAGAAUUGCCUUUUUUGUUGUGAGUUAUACUCAAACAACAUAAAUAUAACUUUAAAAGUCGUACUUAUUUAAAAGUCAAACCAACUGUCUCUGUGUCCAUUUAUGACUGUGUUCCAAGUUCUUCCAUUUGCCGUGUUAUGUAUAAU